rnacentral:rRNA from 1 species
UUCCGGUUGAUCCCGCCGGACCUGACUGCUAUCGGAUUGAUACUAAGCCAUGCGAGUCAUUGUAGUAAUACAAGGCAUACGGCUCAGUAACGCGUAGUCAACCUAACCUAUGGACGGGAAUAACCUCGGGAAACUGAGAAUAAUGCCCGAUAGAACACUAUACCUGGAAUGGUUUGUGUUCCAAAUGAUUUAUCGCCAUAGGAUGGGACUGCGGCCUAUCAGUUUGUUGGUGAGGUAAUGGCCCACCAAGACUAUUACAGGUACGGGCUCUGAGAGGAGUAGCCCGGAGAUGGGUACUGAGACACGGACCCAGGCCCUAUGGGGCGCAGCAGGCGAGGAAACUUUGCAAUGUGCGAAAGCACGACAAGGUUAAUCCGAGUGAUUUGUGCUAAACGAAUCUUUUGUUAGUCCUAGAAACACUAACGAAUAAGGGGUGGGCAAGUUCUGGUGUCAGCCGCCGCGGUAAAACCAGCACCUCAAGUGGUCAGGAUGAUUAUUGGGCCUAAAGCAUCCGUAGCCGGCUCUGUAAGUUUUCGGUUAAAUCUGUACGCUUAACGUACAGGCUGCCGGGAAUACUGCAGAGCUAGGGAGUGGGAGAGGUAGACGGUACUCGGUAGGAAGUGGUAAAAUGCUUUGAUCUAUCGAUGACCACCUGUGGCGAAGGCGGUCUACCAGAACACGUCCGACGGUGAGGGAUGAAAGCUGGGGGAGCAAACCGGAUUAGAUACCCGGGUAGUCCCAGCUGUAAACUAUGCAAACUCAGUGAUGCAUUGGCUUGUGGCCAAUGCAGUGCUGCAGGGAAGCCGUUAAGUUUGCCGCCUGGGAAGUACGUACGCAAGUAUGAAACUUAAAGGAAUUGGCGGGGGAGCACCACAAGGGGUGAAGCCUGCGGUUCAAUUGGAUUCAACGCCGGG